rnacentral:rRNA from 1 species
CCUACGGGAGGCAGCAGUGGGGAAUAUUGGACAAUGGGCGAAAGCCUGAUCCAGCAAUGCCGCGUGAGUGAUGAAGGCCUUAGGGUUGUAAAGCUCUUUUACCCGAGAUGAUAAUGACAGUAUCGGGAGAAUAAGCUCCGGCUAACUCCGUGCCAGCAGCCGCGGUAAUACGGAGGGAGCUAGCGUUGUUCGGAAUUACUGGGCGUAAAGCGCACGUAGGCGGCUUUUUAAGUCAGGGGUGAAAUCCCGGGGCUCAACCCCGGAACUGCCCUUGAAACUGGGAAGCUAGAAUCUUGGAGAGGCGAGUGGAAUUCCGAGUGUAGAGGUGAAAUUCGUAGAUAUUCGGAAGAACACCAGUGGCGAAGGCGACUCGCUGGACAAGUAUUGACGCUGGGGUNCGAAAGCGUGGGGAGCAAACAGGAUUAGAUACCCUGGUAGUCCACGCCGUAAACGAUGAUAACUAGCUGUCCGGGUUCAUGGAACUUGGGUGGCGCAGCUAACGCAUUAAGUUAUCCGCCUGGGGAGUACGGUCGCAAGAUUAAAACUCAAAGGAAUUGACGG